rnacentral:misc_RNA from 1 species
GAUGAAGAACGCAGCGAAAUGCGAUAAGUAAUGUGAAUUGCAGAACUCAGUGAAUCAUCGAAUCUUUGAACGCACAUUGCGCCCCUUGGUAUUCCGAGGGGCAUGCCUGUUCGAGCGUCAUUACACCACUCAAGCUAUGCUUGGUAUUGGGCGUCGUCCUUAGUUGGGCGCGCCUUAAAGACCUCGGCGAGGCCACUCCGGCUUUAGGCGUAGUAGAAUUUAUUCGAACGUCUGUCAAAGGAGAGGAACUCUGCCGACUGAAACCUUUAUUUUUCUAGGUUGACCUCGGAUCAGGUAGGGAUACCCGCUGAACUUAAGCAUAUCAAUAAGCGGAGGA